rnacentral:lncRNA from 1 species
CAGGACAGAAGACCUUGCAGGAAGCUGAGCCUCUGGAGGAGGCCAUGUUGUCUCAGCAUGAACCAAAAUCAAUGGAAUCAACACACCACUCUUGGAAGUUCCUGAAACCAAGAGCGCAAACAGACCUUUUCCUCUCCUUAAGUUGGCUAUCUCAGGUCUUUUGUUACAGUAAUGGAAAGCUGACUAACACAGACUGUAAGGGAGUAAGUUUUGCUGUGUUUUGAAGACGGUGUAUCUG